CACUGAUCAUUCUUCUCCUCUUGUUCUCUGCUCCUCUCACCGCUUAUCUGUAGUAUCCUUCCUUCUUCAACUUCGACUUUCACUUCCUCUUUCUUGAUCCCCGGCACGUCUACUUUGAAGAUGUGAUCUUGUGGGGUCUCUUUCCAAUCGAUUCUUGCAUUUGCGAAAGCAGAGGUUUCACGAGCUGAGGAGGGGGUGUUAGCGAUUGUGCUUGAAAUUGGGAAGCCUUCGAAUGGAUCCCAUAAGUCGAGGGAAAAUGGGUCGAAGAUGUUGCUCCUGCGACCAUCGAAGAAGCUUGGAAUCAGAGACAUCUUGGGGAAUUUGUUGUUUGAAGAAAGCAAAAGAUUGUAUUAUGAAGCUUGAGUUUUUCUUUGAUAGUAGUGUUUGAUUUGCUGAUAUAAAUUUGAGAAAAUGUUGUGCUAUUUAUAGGCGAUGAACCAAGAAACCUGUGUAAUUCCAAUAUAAUCAAGGAUGUUCACCAGAGAAUUCAACAAUAUUCUACAACUUCUUAUCCAAUUUGAGGCUAAUCCAGGAUGUUCUUUGGUUAAUUUUUAAUAGGAAAAAUAAGAGGCUUCUACAAUAUUCCAGAGAAUUUUUUUCUGAAGCGUUUAAGUCAUAAUUUCAGUAGUGCAUACAAAGGUAAAAUGACUCGGGAGGCUUUGUAAUUGACUCUGUUUGUUAGCUGAAUCCGUCCAACUCCCUCCACAAUUGUCAAUUGAACUCCUAAAUCUCCCGUGGUAAGCCCGGCCCAAAGUCAAGAUAUAAACAUAAUAAUGUAAAUUUAAAAAUAUAAUUUAUAUCAUAUAUUUUUUUACUUUAUAAUUAGUAUAAUCAGAUGGCAUAUUAAACAUAUCUUAUUGAUAAGUUUUCAUAAUUAGUAAAAUACUGAAUCACAUAAUUGGAUAAAUUUUUUUUAAAUCUAAUUUGUGAGGACGAAAAUAUUACCAGAGUAUUAUAAUAUAUCAAAAUGCUACAAGUAAUUCGAUAUUUUAUAAAAUAAUAUGAUUUAAAAUAUGUAAUAAUUAGGAUUCAAAGAAGAUCACAAUAGAAAAUAUUGAUAUUUUUAUAAAUUUGUGGGUACGUAAUUAUUUAGUUAUAUAUAGAAAUAAAUUAUAUUUAUUGAGUUUUAGUUUCUCUCGUGUGUGAUUUCAGUAGCAAGACUUUUACAACAUAUUCUUUUUCAUCUUAUAGAAUUAUCUGAAAUAAAAUAUUUCAAUGACUUCAAGAUUAUAUUAUAACAAUUAUAUCCUUAAUUUAGAGUCAUUAUAUAAAUUAACUUAAUAAUGAUCUAUAAGAAUAUUAAACAAUAAUUAAACUAACAUUAAUAGAUUACUCCAUUUGGUCGAUUUAGUUGUUAUGUAUAUUUUUAUAUGCCCCUUAAAAUAAUACCUAUUCACUCCAUUUUAAUUAUUUCUUUAUCUUUUUUCAUAUCCACCAAGAAUUAUAUUAUUUAUUAAGUUAUUUUAUGUAUUAUAUAUGUCUGGAGGGUCGAAUAUAAUAUUAGAAAAAUCUAUAAGGUAAUAGUUGAAAUCAUUAUAAAAUUUAAUUUUAUAUUAAGUUAUCUUGAAUAAUUUUUUUGAGUUAAAGAUAUUGUUGAAUUAAGAUAAAGGAAAUUUUAAUUAAAAGACAAUCUAGCAAGUGGCAAGAAGAAACCAAUUACAAAAUUUUAAAUCUAAUGAUCUUAACAAGAAAAAUAAGGGCAAAAAUAAAAAUAUAUUAAAAAAAUCACCAUCACUUGCUAUGUGUAAUAACCUUAUUUGACCAAAAAAAUAAAAUAUCAAAAAUGCCCUUGUGAAGACUAUCGAAAAUUGAUAUCCUCUCUUAUAUAUAGUAUAGUAGUAAUAUAUAUAUAUAUAUAUAUAUAUAUAUAUAUGAAGAAGCUUCAAGGUUUAAGUUGAAAAUCACCAAAAUAAAAAAAUUGUAUGGACUACAAUAGAUAAGAAAAAUAUCUUAGGAACACAAAAUCAAGGACUCGUACCAAUUACAAACAAGAUAGGAGUAGUAUUUGUUAUAUCUUGAGCAUUACCAGCCGAAGCUAUGGACUCAAAAUCUAUCACCCAAGACCCACAUCGUCACUUCGUUUGUUUCCUCCGAUCCAACAUUUAUAUGUGAUUAAGUUGCGUAGAGCGGCAGAGGUAAACCUUGCAUGGACCCUUACACUUUGUUUGGAUGGUGGUUUGCUAUGAUUUCAUAAUAUACGCUACAGUAUGAGAUGGUAUGGUAUUGUACUUUGGAUGGUUGGAAUAUACUAAAAUAUCCCUAUGAAAUUAUUUUAUUCAAUCACUUAUUCCAGGAACUAAGUAAUAUGAAUACCAGCUACAAAUUGUAUAUCUCAAAAUUAUUAUCCUUAUCUCACCAAUCAAACAAUCCAAAUUUUUUUUUAACUUAACAAUGCAUAUAUAUAUUUUUUCAAAAUUAUUAUCCUUAUCCCACCAAUCAAACAACCAACCCGAAGGUUUUCAUAAUUUGACAACGCAUAUAUAUAUAUAUCUUUUGCGAGGUGACGAUAUGAAAGCAGUAUUAGUCCUGUAUGUAAAGUGAACGGGCUGAUGAUUUCAGAAACUUCAUUUAAAUAGAGAAAUAAUACCGGAUAUUUUCAUACAUAUGCAAGGAUAACAAUUCCCAAAAUUCUAUAAAGUUCAUUAAGUGUUGCAAGUCGAAAUUGUUCUAAAUAUAUCCCGUAACAAACUAACAAUCCAUUGGCUACUAAUUUUACAUCGAAAAACCGUCAUAUGUAAAUCUCAAUACCAAGAUCAAAAUUUUAGCAAAAGAGUGAUCUCCAUAGGUUAAGGCUCCUUCAAACAAAGUUCAGAUUUACUAAAUUAACAAAGCACUACUCUUCUUAGUGAAAAAUCAUCACCCAAUCUAGAGACUAAUUUUUUUAAAAAAGUUUUCCUUCUACGCUUGUCUUUAGAUCAUUUAAAAAAGUGAAAACUAAUCAAAUCAGUUAUCUCAAGGAAUCAACACGCUUCUUUCCAUCAAAAAUUGUCUUUUAACUUCUCAUCACAAAUUAUCACCUUCUCGUUUUGACGACCCUACAAAGGUAACAUAUGGCUAAGUAUCAACCCAACUAUAUAUAGAUAGAUGGUAACCCCCAUAAAGAAAGAACAAGUAGAAAUGCACUUCAAACAGUGGAGUACAGUAGAAGAAAGCAUGGCCGCCUUUUUACGUAUCACCCAAUACGAAUUAUAAGUGCAAUGCAGAAUAUACGGUAUUAGUAAUACUUGCAUUAGUAAUGCUUAUAUUAAUUAGUUAUAUUGAUAUUGUUUCUUAUACAUUAUUUAAUUUGACAUGUUAAAAAUAAUAUAUCUUAUAUAAUUUAUAUAAAAGAAAUAUUUAUUUAUAAAACUAUCCUUCUUUGAUUUAUUACAUUUUUUUCAACAAAAUUCGUUUGCCAUCUCAAACAUAAUUAGUGUUGUUGAACUAGUAUAUAGAGGUUUAGGAUUAAUUGCAAGACCGUCGUCUUUACGCAUGAAAUGUUAUGCAGGCGGAUUAACAUAAUCGAAACAAAAAUAAAAUACAAGAUAUAGAAUAAAGGAAUAGUCUCAAUUUUUUUAUUUAAUUUUUUUAAAGACCCUCGAAGCAAAGCAAAGAUGCAGUUAUUUAAACCAACAAUUCAUUAUUGGAAAUUAAAAUGGUGGAAAAAGAUAUUUUAAUAUGUUUUGAAAAGAUUUACUGUUGCAAAUUAAAAUGGUGAAAAAAAAAUUGUGAAAUAUUUUGAGAGAAAAAUUGGAUAUAUUAAGGUCAUUUAAUAGGUUAAUGCAUGUCUUUAAAGUUUUUGUAUUACUAAUACAUAGGAAAUGGUGUGUAUUACUAAUACACAUCUCAAUAUACAAUAGAAUAUAUAUCUAAUGUUUGUAUUAGUUAUAUAUAGGCAAAAAGAUGUACCAAACAAGGUACUAGUAACACACAUUAACUAAUGCAUGCAUUAUAUUUUCCAAUAUGCUCUACCGAACGAUCCUGGUACAAAGAGAAGUUAUCCAUGAUUAACAAUACUGGAAUUAGCAAUGUAAAAAUUGCAGUGCUGAAAUUAUUUUUCAUCAAGUAUUUGAUUCAUUAUAUUAAAAAUUAGAUAUAUCAUGUAUUGUAUUUGAAUUUAAAGUUGUACAAAAUCUUCUUCAGAUUUAUAUCCUUAAAUUUCUGUAGAAUUUUUUUACUUUAUUUAACUAAUGGAAAAUGGUCAAAAGCCCUCCCCCAAACCUUUACCCCAAAUCCCAACUACGCACUCAACUUUUAAAUGUGACCUAUUACCCCCGGAACUAUUUUAAAGUAGAAUUAUUAUCCCCUGAAUUAUUUUAAAGUGAAAUUAUUACCCCCCUCCCUCCCCCUUCCCCAAAAACCCCCCUCCCCUCCCGAAAAUUGACAACCAGUCAUUUGAAAUGUGGUGUGAUACACGCGCUGCCACGUCAUUUUUUUAUUUACUCUAAAAAAGUUAAUUAUUUAACUUUAUUAUUUUUUUUCUUCCCCAUUUUUCAUUUUGCUCCAUUUUCUUCUUCAAUCAAUUUCAUCUUCUUGGGUCAAAUAUAGAAUUCUUGGGAAAAAAAAUGACGGAUUAAUGAAGUUCUUGAAUGACGGGUUAAUGAAGUUCUUGAAUGGGGUUUUAAUGAAGUUCUUGAACCUAAUUUCAUCUCUUUUUGCUCAAGAUCACCAUUAGUGGCGAAUUCUUCCCCAUUGUGGAAAUUCAAAGCUUUGAACUCGCCAUUAAUGAUGGAUCUUGAGUAAAAAUAGAGAAAAUCGAAAAAAUGGGUUGAACAUUAUACGUGGGUUAUGUUGGAAAUUAUGUAUGGCAUUGUGGAAAUUCGAAGCUUUGAGCUUGCCAUUAAUGGUGAUCUUGAGCAAAAAGAGAGGAAAUCGAAGUUGAAUUUUUUCAAGUUUUUUGAAUCGGAGUUCCCCAACUUCUUCAUUCAAGAAUUCAUUAAUCGGAGAAAUCUUAUUGUUUCCUUAGUUCAAGUGUUUCUUGGUUUCGAUUUCAGAGCAAAGAGAAUUUCUUGAUUUCGGAGAAAUCCAUUAAUGAGGAAGAUGAGAAACCCCAUUAAUGAGUUCUUAAAUUUUUGUUUUAAAAAAGAAAAGAAGAAGACAUGACGUGUCAAUUAAAAUUCAUUAAGAAAAAGUAAUAAUUAAAAUAUUUAUUAUAUUAUUAAAAAUAAUGACGUGACAAUAAAAAAUAAAGAAUUUAAAGUGAAAUGGGGUCAACUGACGCGCCCAUGGGCGAGUGUAGUCACGUCCAAUGACAGGUCAGCAAUUGGUGGUAAUAAAUUCGAUAAAAAUAAUUUUAGGGGGAUAAUAGGUCACUUUUAAAGGUUGAGUGCGUAGUUAAGAUUUCGACUAAAGGUUGGACGGUAAUAGACCAUUUUCUCUUUAACUAAUCAAAUUACUCACUUUUUAUGCGAUCUUAUAAAAAAGUUAAAAUAUAAAUAAUAAUUCUUACUCCGCUUAAUUAAUUAUUUACUUAUUUUUUAAAAAAUUGGGCCUAGUUGAUUUAAAAAAAAUUUAAACAGUAAAAAUAUAUUGUAUAAGAACAACAUGGAUUAUUGAUAAUGUAGUUUCAUAAUUUUAAAUUAUAUAUUUAUUGACAAUAAUCUACUCGUUUUAAAUCAGUCAGUCUAUAAAUUGAAUAAUUACAAAUAGAAUAAAUGUUAGCUUACGUUUGAAGCUAUCAAUCAACAUGAGAGAGAAAAUGACAUUUAGGUGCAAAUUAAAUAUGGUAUAACCAUUAAAUUUGAGGUUAGAUUUAAUAUGAAAAUAAAAGAAAGCUUUUAUUAAAAAAGUAGUUAAAUUAUUUAAUUCUCUUAUUUAUAUAUUAUUAAACAACGUAUAAAUAAUUUUAUGAUUUUUAAAGUAUAGAUAAUCUACUCUAUAGUGUAUAAGUGUGUAUAAGUUAUUCAUGUAUUAGCUGAAAUUAAAUUUAACUAGAACAAUCAAAUAUUAUAUUAGCUGAAAUUAAAUUUGAAUAGAACAAUCAAAUAUUAUAUUGAGAAAAUAGUCUAUUACCUCCAACCUUUAGUCGAAAUCCCAAUUACAUACUCAACCUUUUAAAGAUACCUAUUAUCCCCUUAAUCUAUUUUUUUUUCUAUAUUUAUUACUCCCUGACCUGUCAACAUAAACCAAGUAAUAAGACAUUCAUGCAUUUCAUGCGCCUGGCCCACACCUAAACAUAACAAAAUAUCUUUUUUCACAAUUUCAUUUUCAAUUUCCUCUCUCCUCUCUCUUCUCUCUAAACCUUUCAUCUUCCUCUCUCCUCUAUCUUCUCUCUAAACUGCGAUUUCAUCUAUUUUUUUGGGGGAAUUUUUGUUAUAAUUGAGAUAUUUUGGGUGUGAAUUUUCAAAGAAUCAUCUUGUUGCUGUUACAAGGUGUUUUUUUUUUCCGUAAACUGAAAAAAAUUGAAUUAGAAUUUUUAGCUAAUCUCCAAAUUUACAAAUUAAUUGAGUGAAAUUAACUGAUUCUUACUGUUAUGGCGUUGUCUCAGUGUUCGAUUAACAACAUAAUUCGUUCGUAAGUACAUGUUUUGUUGAUUGUUUAAGUGAGUUUAUUAGAAAUUAGCGCUUUUCUUCGAUUUGUUGUUAAUGUGAAAACUUAAAAAUUCAAUUGUGUUUAAUAGGAAGUGCGUGUUAAUAUGUUGUUAAUUUGAGUGAUUUUUUCCAAAAUUGAGUUAAAAUUAAAUAGAGUUUUAUGCUAAUUCCCAAAAUUUAAAAUUAAUUGAGUGACAUUAAGCUGUGGUUUUUGCUAUUAUAUUGUCUACGUGUUUGAUUAACAACAUAUUACGUUUCUAAUUACAUCAAAUUAGAAUUUUUGUUGAUUGUUUAAGUUGGUUUAUUAGAAAUUAGAGCUUUUGUCCGAUUUGUUGUUAAAAUGAUAAAAUUUCUCAAAAUCAAUUGCGUUUAAUAGCAUGUGUAUGUUAAUGUCCGAAACUAUGACUCAGAUAACUCAGCAGUGUGUAGAGCUAUGUCGAUCUGAAGAUAAUAAAAUUUCAGAGCUAAAAAAAGACGUUGGUAAACUCCAUAAAACCCAUAACGUUUAUUAUUAUUUUGGUUUUUAAUUUUGUAGCAUGUUCAUGAUUUUUUUUUCUUUUUCCAUAAUGUUUCUACUAUGCUACUAUGUCUUGUUUGAUUCUUUAUUGUGAUCAGGUAAGACAUGAAUGAUUUUACGUUGAUAACUCUAAGAUAGUACCAUGGUGAGGUCUUACAUUUUAGUAGGGGAAAACCAGUUUAUAAGGGGGGGUUAGUAACAGAAUUUUUGAAUGUUGACGUAGAUAAGAUGUCAUAUUUUGAGUUGAAAGACUAUAUUAAAAAUUGGGACAUAGCAUAACUUGCACUUUUAGUAUUAAAGCAUUUAACUAUGGCAUUUUGGUAGAUGUUGAUAAUGAUAUGGAUAUUUUUGAGAUGAUGUGUUCCUUGCAAGAUGGGGAUGAAGUAGAGGUAUUUGUCAACCAUUUGUUGAUGAGCCAGAUGUAGUGGCCCCCCCUCCCCCAAACCUUUAUUUUUAGAAAAUGUCUGUCCUAGAAAUUUAGAGGAAUCUGGUGCAUCUUUUAAUACUAAGCCUAACUUUAGGGUAAGUGGGGACCAUUUAAAUGUGGAGGACCCUACUUCUUUUUUUCCAACCACACCUCCUUUCAAUACCACACCUCUUUUCACUACUGCAUUAAGUGUUGCUGUAACAACUAAUGCUGCAGUAGAUGAUAUAGAUGUUGGUCUUGCUGGAUUUGAUUUUUUAGAAGAAGAAGUAGAGGCUUCUGAUUAUUCUACUGAGAAUAAUGUUGAGUCAGAAGGAGAAUUAGUUGGAGAUGAUGAUGAAGAGGAGUAUGGUAAUGAUGUACCUGAGGAGGUUAGGGAGUUGAGAGUUGAAAAGAGAAAGUUUCAAAGGAGAAAAAGAAAUGAGAGAGUACCAACUGACAAUGCAGAGGUACCAGUAGGUGAAGUAGUACCAGAUCUAGGUUUUGAUGAAACUGAAACCGGUAGAGUAAGUUAUGAAGGAAGGCUUGGAGGUGAUGAGCCUUACUUUGCAAGUUCUGAUGAGGAUAGUUUUGUAUUAGAUGAAGAUGAUUGUUGUGAUGAUGAUGAACAUGAAAUGGUUCAUUCUGGUAGAGCAAGAACUAUGAAGUUGUCAAAAAAGAGGACAACAAAUCAAAAAAUCAUUCAUGACCCAACUGCAAAGGAAGUUGUUUGCCAGUUACGUAUGGUGUUUAAAGAUAUGAGUGAAUUUAGAAAAGCAGUGACUAAAUAUGUAAUAAGAAAAAGGGUUCUUGUAGAGAAGUGGGUUAAUGAGCCAAAAAAGGUUAGAGUUAGGUGCAAUGAUGGCUGUCCAUGGCUUUUAUUUGCAGGUCUUGACAAGACAACAAAUGAUUUCAUGAUAAAAAACUUAUAUUCCAAAGCAUACUUGCAAUAAGACAACCAGAAAUUACUUGUGCAAUGCAAAGUUCUUAGCUGAAAUCUUUAGAGAAAGAAUAGUUGAGCAACCCAACAUAAGAGUAUUCAAGUUGCAAAAGUUGAUUAGAAAAAAGUUCAAACUUUAUGUUGGUAAGAUCACUGUGAGAAAAGCAAGGUCUAAAGUCUUAAAGGAGAUAAUGGGUGAUCAUGUUGUAGAAUUUGGAAGAAUCCUUGACUACAAAGAUGAACUGUUGAGGAUAAAUCCGGGGACCAGUUGCGUUGUCAAACUUGGUGAGGCUGAUGAAGCAGGUAAACCAAAAUUUCAGACUUUUUACAUAUGCUUUGAUGUUUUGAAGAAGGCAUGGGUACAUUGUAGGAAGUGCAUAGAUUUAUAUGGUUGUUUUCGUAAGGGUAUUUGUAAAAGCCAAUUGUUAGUUGUUGUUGCCAAGGAUGGAAAUAACUAGAUGCUGCCACUUGCUUGGGCAAUAGUUGAAAAACAGAAUACAAACACCUGGACAUGGUUUAUUAGGUGCAUUAGGGAUGACCUAAGACUUGAAGAAGGUGAAAGUCUCACCCUGAUUACAGAUAUGCAGAAGGUAUGUACAGUAUUUUAUGUUUAACCUCAUUUCUUUUUAAUUUAACUUAGUACAUGUAAUUAUGCCCUAACUUCACCCUUUUUUUGUUAUGUAUGUUUACUGAAAGGACUGUUUGUAGCAAUUGAGGAGGUGUUACCUCAAUCUGAACAUAAAAGAUGUGCAAGACACAUCUUAGCUAAUUGGGCUAAGGAUUGGAGAGGUCUUCAAAGAAGACAACAAUUUUGAAAGAUAGCAAAAAGUACAUUUGAGUCUCAAAUGAGGAAGAACAUACAGAAGAUGAAGUUGCUUGGUCCUGGAAAAAUGAUGUAAGACUUAAUGUACUGCAAUAUUAAUUACUGGUGCAAGCUUUACUUCAACACAGAAGUAAAGUUUGAUUCAGUGGAUAACAACAUGAGUAAGUGUUUUAAUGCAUCGAUCUUGGCAGUUAGCAGAAGACCAUCAUUUUCCUGCUUGAAGAAAUAAGAGUGAAGAUGAUGACAAGAAUAGGCACUCUAAGGGAGUUUCCAAAUACCUGGUGUAGUAGUUACUCACCAAGGUGUUUGAAGAUUUUAGAGGAGAACAUCAACAGGGCUCUGGAUUGUACCAUUAAGUUUAAUGGAGUGACUGGUUUUGAAGUGAAAGAAGGGCUUUGUCAACACACAGUGGAUAUUAUCAAGAGGACAUAUAGGUAUAGGUUGUGGCAGUUAAAGGGCAUACCAUGUGCACAUGGUGUGGCUGCACUAUUGUUCAAGAAACAUCCCUUGUAUGACUAUAUUGACAGCUGCUACAGUAAGGAAACAUACUUGAGGACUUAUGCAAAUGUUCUUAAACUAUUAACAAACAUGAAAAUGUGGCCUGUUUCAUCAAACAUUACUGUUGCACCACCUGAAAUUAGUACCUUGCCUAGCAGGCCAUCUAAGUCUAGGAAGAAGGAAGCUGGAGAAACAAAAAAAUCUGCAAAAUUGCCUAGAACUGGACUUGCAAUGACAUGUAGGUUGUGUCAUGUAGGUUGUGUCAUGUUAGAGGCCACAACAAAAGAAGGUUCCCUCUAAGAGGACAAUCAGCAGAACCAAGUGUUGCACUAUCAGUAACACCUACUGGUUCAGGCAUUGGAAGAGGCAGACCAAAGGUAAGUUUAACACUUAAUUUAGUAUAUUACUUAUCUUACUUCUAAAAUUUCUUAACAUUAUUUUAAUAUGUAGAAAACUACACCAAAAACACCAAAUGCACCUCCUCAAGUCAGUGUUGGUUCAGGCAGGGGAAGAGGCAGACCAAAGGUAAUUUUACACUUGUACUAAUUAGCUCAAUAACUUUUAUAUAACUCUCUUCUUUUUAUAUGUAUAGAAAACUCCAUCAGAAAUCAUUAAUGCAUGUCAACAACAAAAAAAAGAAGAAGAAGGAGACCAAAAAAGGCAACACUAGCAGCACCUAGUGCAUCUCCUCUACCUAAAACACCUUCUGCGCCUACUAUUUUUCCAGCAUCCUGUUCUGCACCUUCUGAUUAUUGUGCAUCAUCUUUAAUGGCUGGUAUUACUAAAAGGGGAAGGGGUAAUGAUAAGGAAAAAACACCUCCAUUGAAAAGGUCAAAAGUAAUGGGAAUGGGUGUGUUCCAAGAUGAAAAUGGAUUCAAAGUCCUAAAUGUAAGUAUCUAGCUUUGUUGUAUCUUGUGUACAUAUGAGUCUUUAAUGUAUAAGUUUUUGAAUAAUUUUUAUCCUUCACUGUAGCCUGGCAUGCCUAGCAGUAAGAUCUGCUCUAUUGGUCAUGCAAGGGUAACAAGAUCAGCUGAUAUAACUGGUAACAUUGGUUAUACACCAAGUACUACUAAUAAGCUGAAAUUGAAUGGCAAAGUAGCAAUAUGAACGAAAAAACUACAAGAUAUUAAAGAGAAGAAAAGAAAGAAGAAUGUGCGAAGCAGUUCAAAUAAUUCAAGUCAAGAAAAUACUUCUUCAAAGUCCAAGAUGCCCUGAAAAUUGUAGUAAUGUUGAUUAUUUUAAGCACUGUUUUAAGUUAGACCAAUUGAAAUGAAAAUAAUUUUAUUUUGGUGCUGAAAAAUAAUUUAAGCACUGUAUAUAUAUUUUGUUGAUGAAUGUUGCCUAAUGGUUGGUAUGAAUGAUGAUGUUGUGCCUAAUGGUUGGUAUGAAUGAUGAUGUUGUGUGAAGUCGAAUAUUUUGUUGAUGAAUGUUGUCAUUAGGUAUUAUUGUUGUGUUAAAUGAUGGUAAAGUUGAUAUAAUGUCAACACAACAUUGUCAUUACACGAUUUAAGUGUAAAAACAUAGCAGCAGCACGGUGCUUUGUCUAACAAGACACAACUUUGAAAGUGUAAACAAUAACAUAGCAACAACAAAAGACACAAUAAGUGUAAACAAUAACAUAACAGUAAUACACAACACAAUUUUGUAAAUGUAAACAACAACGUAGCAGGAGCACAACACAAUUUUAAAAGUGAAAACAAUAACAUAGCAGCAACACAAAUGCAAACAAUAACAUAGCAGCAGCAACACAAGUGCAAACAAUAAUAUAGCAGCAACACAACAAACAUCUGAAGUACGACUAAGCAAAAGACACCAUAACAGAACAUAAUCUGAUAUAUUUAGAGAGAGAUAUACAAAAUUUACACCAUAGUAGACAAGAUCUAGCAACUAGUUUUAGUUCAUUUGUUGCUGAUGAACAUAGCAACAACACAAAUCAAAAUAAAUUAAAAUAUCUUCCUAUUGAACCUACACCAUCUCCAUUUUCUAUUAAGCUUUUUCUCCCGCGUCAAGUUAUCAAUUUGGACUUGUUUAAGCCAUACGUCUUCUUCCAACUCAUUGAUUUUUUUCACCAAUCUUGGAAAUAUAAAAUUUGAUCUUGAAUCCACUUUUUCUUUGUCCCUUUGUAGGAAAAAAUUAUAUUUUUGAGACUAAAAUUUUUUUUAGAAAUCAGUACAUUAUCAUAAUUUGAAUAUAAAUUGACGGCAAAAUACAAUGCAAAAUACAUAUACCAUAGUAGAGGCAAGACCAAAAUCUUCUUCCCGGAUUUAACUUCGACCAUGAAGUUUGCAAGUUAAGAAAAAUACCAUGUUUGCAUCUCACAACAACAUUGACCAUUGGAUCUGAUUCAUCUACACAAAGUUUAUUCAAUUUCGAAUUUGUCAUUUCAUGAAUUUCGACAAAAUUAAUGAUAAAAUUACAAACCCUAAAUUAAUAGUUGAACCAAACUACAAAACAAAACUUCACGAAUUGAAGUACAAAUUGGGAUUAAAAAUUAAAACGUACGUUAAAGAAAUAGAAAAAAAAUGGAGAAACAUGAAGGAAAAUGAUGGACAAGAACAAGGGUCUUAUAAAGAAGAAGAUGACCGUUGGAAGAGAGAGUAUUUUUUCAUCUUUAUUUCAUCAAAUAAUCAAUUAAUGAUGUGUAUAUUAUGUGGAAGGUUAAAAUUUUAAUUUUAGAUGUGCUGGGGCUAAACCAACGCGUCUAGAGGGAGUGUUCUCACCUUCCUUGUCAGGUCAACAUUUGGGGUAAUAAAUAUAGAAAACAGGUCAGCAUUUGAGGUAAUAAAUAUAGGAAAAAAUAAAUUAGAGGGUAAUAGGUCAUCUUUUGAAAAUUAAGUGUGUAGUUAAAUUUUGACUAAAGGUUGAUAUUAGCUGAACAAAAUUUUAACCAUAAACAAUAGUCCUAAAUAGAACAGGAUUCAUUCACACGACAACUUGCUUCUUGUAUUGAAGAAUUAGAAGAGGGGUUCUUAAGGAUCAUUCCUUACAAAUAAUUCUAAGAGAAAGAAAAGAGACGCAACUACUUUAAAUAAAUGAUAAAAGGAAAUUAUUUAUUAAUCAAACUCAUAACAUUUUCUUGAUUACAAUUGUAAGACGAAGACCCACAACCUUAGACAAAUUACAGACACACAUCAUUCAGAUUGAAACAAACAUUAUUGACUGACAAAGGGAGUUCGACAAACAACAGUUGAUUUGCAAUUCUUCUUCAACCAAAGAUGUCAAUCGCCUUCACCUCAUGUUUCUUCUCCUCUUCCUUCGGAACAGUCACAGUGAGCACUCUGUUCUCCAUAGCUGCCUUAAUUUCCCCUAUUUUCGUAUUCUCCGGCAGCCUAAAUCUCCUCAAAAACUUGCCGUUGCUCCUCUCCAUACCGUGCCACUGAUCAUUCUUCUCCUCUUGCUCUCUGCUUCUCUCACCACUUAUCUGUAAUAUCCUUCCUUCUGCAACUUCGACUUUCACUUUUUCUUUCUUGAUCCCCGGAACAUCUGCUUUGAAGAUAUAAGCUUCUGGAGUUUUCUUCGAAUCAAUUCUUGCAUUUACGAAAGUAGAAGUUUCACGAGAAGAGGAGGGGGUGUUGGUGAUUGUGCUUGAAAUUGGGAAGCCUUCGAACGGAUCCCAUAGGUCGAGGGAGAAUGGGUCAAAGAUGUUGCUCCUGCGACCACCGAAGAAGCUUGGAAUCAGAGACAUUUUCUGGGGACUUUGUUGUUUGAAGAAGACAAAAGAUGUACUGUUACAGAGCUUGAAUUUUUCUUUGAUUGUAGCGUUUGAUAAUUUGUUGUUGAUGAAUGAGAGGAGAUGCCGUGAUAUUUAUAGGCGAUGAACCAUGAAACUUAAGUAAUUGGAGUGUAAUCUAGGAUGUUCUCAGAGUAUUCGACGAUAUUCUUCAAUAAGCUAUCCAAUUCGAGGCUAAUCUUCGAUGUUCUUCGGUUUAACUUUCAUUAAUAGAAGAAAUAAGAAGCUUCUACAGUAUUCGAGGGAAUUUUUCUAAAAGGGUCAUGCACAUUAUUGUUCGUCAAGUCAUAAUUUCAAGGGUAAGGUAUAAUGGGUAAAUAAUUUUGAAAUAAAAUGAAGAGUAAAUACAUAAUAAUUACCCACUGAUGUUGGUCGAGAUUUUUAAAAAGACACUUAAACUUUGAAUUCGACCCAUUAUCCUAUGAUUCUUACUUAAUUUAUUGCAAACACACUAUUUUUCGCUGAAUUUUAGUCACAACAAGGAGAGUGAAAUACAUGCGUCAAUCAGAUGCCACCACAUGUCAAAUAUGUUUAAUUUAUAUUUUUAUUAUUAUUUUAAUAAAAUUUUAUUUUUUAUUUAAUUUAAUACCCCACCCCAAAAUCAAUUCAAAAAAUAAUUUUAUAAUUAAAUUGAGAGUUUUAUGAUUGAAUUUAGUUUUAAAGAUAGUUAAAUGAUAUGAUUUAACUGAAAAAUUGAGCUUUAAUGAUAUGAUUUUAAUAAAAAAAAAGCUUCAAUGGAGGAACUUUAAUGAUGAUAUUGUGUUGAAGAGCUUUAAUGGUGUUGAAGAAGAUAUUAUGUUGAAGAAGAAAUGGUGGAUAGUUAAAUGAUAUGAUUUAAUUGUAAAAUGGAGCUUUAAUGAAUGAUUUAAAAAAAUUAUGAAAAGUUUCAAUGGAAGCUUUAAUGGUGAGUUGAGUUAAAGAAGAAAGAGUGGGUGGUUGGAGGGCGGAGAGGGGGUAGGGAUAAUUUUUAAAAAUAAAUAAAUAUUAUUUUUUUUUAAAAAAUAUAAAUUAUAUAUUAAAUUAUUUUACACAUGACAGCUUUUAAUUGGUCAAAAAUGUCAAAUUCAAGCCAUUUCACGCGCCUGUGGUGCAUGUAUACACGUAGAGGGUCAAAAUGGUGUGUUUGCAACGAAAUAAAGAAGAAUCAUGGGGUAAUUAAUCGAAGUUAAAGUUUAGGUAUCUUUUUGUAAAUCUCGGACAAGAGAAGGAGGUAAUUAUGUAUUUACUCUAAAAUGAAAGAUUAAUACAUCCUUGACUACAUAUCUACAUGUUUCAUUAUUUACAUAUUGAAAAUGAUGGUGUUUGUAACUUUUCACAACAUCAUUUAGCAAAAAGUACCUGCACAGUACCAAAUGAUUAAUAUUUGUCUCAUAAAGAGGAAAGAAAAAGCAAGGGCAUAUUGAUAGAUGAGAUUUCCGACAAAUAAGAAACCAAAUCAUUACUAUCACAUGAACCUUAAGUUGUUGCAAUUAAGAGUUCGGAACUAAAGUAUGCCAUGCAACUAAAAAAAGAAUCAUUCUAUGUCAUAUAAAAAAAGUAUUAAAAUAGGUUUUGUGCACUUAUUAAGUGCACAAUGCCUUUCUAUUUUAACGGUAAAUCCAUUCACAGUAUCAGAGAAAGUCAAACUUAGUCAUUUUUUAUGAAUUGUGCACUUAUUAAGUGCACAAUUCAUUUUUUUAUGAAUUAUGCACUAAAUAAGUGCACAAUUCUUAUUAAAAUAGAUUGUGCACUUAUUAAGUGCACAAUGUUUUUUAAAUAAACUGUACACUUAUUAAGUGCACAAUGUUUAUUCACUUUUUACGCAUGACAUUUUCAUUUAAUUUGUUUAUUUAUUUAUUUAUUUAUUUAUUUUUUGAUUGUGCACUUUUUUAGUGCACAAUUCAUUUAUUUAUAUUGUUCACUUUUUUGUACAAUCAAUGGAUUGUUGUGAUUUUGGACUUGUUGAAGAAGAUUAACAAACAACAAAAGGAGCUGAAGGCCAAAAGGAUCUUAAAGCUAAUUUUAAGCAUUAGUGUGAUAUGUAAUCUGAUGAUGUUCAUUUACCUUUUGUGCCAUUGAAAGAGAAUUGUCUAUGUAUGAUGUUUUAUUUUGACGAAUAUAAUAGUAUUUCUCUGUUAAAGUACAAAUACUCUUAACACGAAAAUUUUUAUGGUAGAUGAGGUGCGCCAUGUCAUAUUUAUGUGAGGCUUUUCAUUAUUUGACAAGUGCACAUUGUGGGUCCCGUGUAAUUAUUAUCCUUUUCACUUUUUAUUGAAAUGUCAUGCUUUUUUAUUUUUUAAUUUAUUUACACAAAAUCAAAUAACAUGAAUAAAAUAGGGUGAAAAAAUUAUCAUACAAUUUUUUCUUUUUUAUUAAUAUAAAUUAUCUAACUUUAAAGUUUAUCACACAUAAAUUAUUAUUUUUUUUAUUUUUCAUAUAAAAAAUCAUCCAUUUUAAAAUUAUCACAGUAAUCUUUUUUUCUAAUUUUUAAAUGGCAAUGAAAUGAUAUAAUAAAAUUAUUUAUCAUUAUUUUAUUCAAUAAAAUUAUUUAGAUUAAUAGAUUUAUCUCACGAAGUAACAAUAGAAUUAAAACCCACACUUAGAAAAUAGGAUAGUUUGUAAUUAGCAUCCUUAAUAUAUGUGCAUUUUUUUUAAUUACACUUUAUUUUAUUUUUAAUGUCUUGGCCCUUAAAAUCUCAUUAAAUUCCUACAAAAUUAUAAUUAAUCUCAUUUUAAUUGUUACAAAGACAAAAAAAAAAGGAAAAAAUAGAAUUAAGAAGAAAAAAUAAUAAUAGCCUUUCAAUAUUGAUUCAUACCUCCAGUGAAUUUAUCUUGAAUGACUUUCAAGCCGUCUUUGCUUCUUUAAAUAAUCAAAUUUAAUAUUUCAAAAGUAUAUUUAUUGAAAUUAUUUAUUAGUUUAGUUUGGUUUAUAUUAAAAUCAUGUGUUUUAUUUUUGUUUUUUCAUCCGGUGUCCGAUACCCGCAUUGGAGUACGACUAAUGCUGAUUCGCGCCGCGUAGUGUCCCAUUCGGGGGGAAGCGCACCUUACCAAGAAUUUUUUCAUACCUAGGGCUCAAACCCGAGACCUCUGGUUAAAGGAGGAGCAGCCCCAUCCGCUGUAUCACAUCAUUUGGUGGUAUUAAAAUAUGUGGUUGUAUUAUGGUGAAACUGUUUAGUUUGAAAGCUUAUAACAAUUAUUAUUAUUAUUAUUAUUAUUAUUUAUGCUUUUUAUUUUAUUUUAUGUUUUUAAAGGGUAAUUUAUUUUAUUAUUAUUAUUAUUAUUGUAUUUUAAAUAAAUUGCCCUUUUAAAAUAUAAAAUAAAAUAAAAACUAUAUAUGCUUAUAACAAAUUAUCGUAUUCAUACUAUAAUUUUUUUACAUACAAAUACAUAUUUAUAAUAAUAAACAUUUUAAAUGUCAGCCGUAAAAAGUGAAUAGAGAUUGUGCACUUAAUAAGUGCACAAUCUAUUUAAAAAAUGUUGUGCACAAUCUAUUUUAAAAAAAAUUGUGCACUUUAGUGCACAAUUCAUAAAAAAAAAUGAAUUAUGCACUUAAUAAGUGCACAAUCCAUUAAAAAAUGGAUUGUGCACUUAAAAAUUGCACAAUCUAAGCGUGACCUUCUCUGACGCCGCGAAUGGAUUUGCUGUUAAAAUAAAAAGGCAUUGUGCACUUAAUAAGUGCACAAAGCCUAUUUUAGUAUUUUUUUUUAUAUGACAUAAAAUAAUACUUUUUUUAGUUGUAGGACAUAUUUGGUUUCGGACUCUGCACUUAACUAUAUUUCAUUCUUUUAUAUCAAAUACCUUCGUAGUAUUUAUUGGAAGAGUUCGUUGUGAUGGGAAAAAUACUUUCAUAGUAAGAAAAUCUAGAAAGUACAAACAUGUACUCAAACUAACUUAAAUAAAGUAGAAACAAUUAGAUUAGCUAAAUUAGAAUAUCAUGUAAUGUUGAAAACAUACUGAAAGACAUUCGAGAAGCUAACAUCGACAAGGAAUUAAGCCACUUUUACGUCCAAAACUCUCAUGUUCUCGAUCUUUCUAUUGCAGAAAAUCAACCUGAAAAAUUUAAAAGUAAAUUAUUAUUAUUAUUAUUAUUAUUAUUUAUUAUUAUUAUUAUUAUUAUUAUUAUUAUUAUUAUUAUUAUUUCAUUUCUAAUUCUUUAUUCCAUUUUUGAGAAGAGAAAAACUAAAUUAUAAAGUUGAAGGUUGUUGCCCUUCAAAUUAAAUAAUCUAUAGCCAAUAUAAUCUGGAAAACCUCUAUUUAGAAAGGGAAAAAAAUGAACAUUGAUAUACAUUUAAUAAAGCAAUGGAAAGUUGGACAUUAACCUCCUAGAAAUACUCACUGCAUCUUUUAAAAACCUUAAAUCAGAAACUAUCAAAUCUUUGUUUUUAUUAACAACAGGGACUUCCCCCAAUUCUUGUAGAAAACUUGAGACACAUAAAAUGUGAUUCUAAUGCUUAUUCAUCUCUUGAUUUUUCCAUCAUUAUUUAAAUAUCUACAACAAUAAUAUACUGGUAUAAUUUUAUUGGUGGGGUUUAGGGAGAGUAAAGUGUACACAGAUCUUACCCCUAUAAUUCGUAAAGAUAAGAGAAGUUGUUUCUGAUAGACCCUCAGCUGAAGUGAAGUAUCUCAAAGCAAUUUGAAAAGGGAAAUAUGGAAAUAGAAAUAGUAACAUCAACACUAUAUAUGAAUGCAUGGAGCGGAAUUUACCUUACUGUUUGCCUUUGCAUACGCAAUCAGCUGCUAAGUGUCUGACUCAAGAAUGCCAUCAACUAUAGUAGCCACGCCUCUAAUGAUUGCUUGUUUAAGAGCAGAUAUGGAGGAUGCAACAACAUUGCAUUGAGUUAAGAAAUUAACGAUCAGACAGAUUGUCUUUCAAGAGAUGACGGAGGGCUUGUCACACUACCAACCUUCUGAAAGAUACAAAGCUUAUAAAUACAUCAGUAGUGGGAUGUGCAACACAGCCAGCUUCAACUCUGUAUAACAGGACGGACAACAUUAGUUCAUAUAUCGUUUUGGACACACAACCAAUUGACAUACAUGGACAAAUUGAUUUAUAAUUAAGCCCUAUGUGCUAUAAUGUUGAGUCAAGAUGCUCCGCCUUUUCUAUAGAAGCAGUCAACUGAGUUCUAAACGAAUUAGCUUCUGGCCAUAUUACGCCUGUUGGGUUCAAUAUGUAUGGAAGAAGUGUGAAUAGAAAAUGGAGAGAAAAAGGAUGGAGGGAAGGAAACACUAAUUUAGAAAGUGUACUCUCAAAUUGAAAAGUUCACUAAAUCUCCCACAUUGGUGGGAGAAGAGAACUUUGGAGUAUUUUUAAUAAAGAAUACUUACUCUACAUAGAUAGUGAGGCAAGAACAAGGUGGUGCUUCGUGUUGUUGUCGUCGCUCGGCUCGACUUUGAAUUUGGAUUGAUGGAAUCUAUUAUUUUGGACAAAAUUUAUUUGAUCAAAAUCUGAUCCGAAUAUUCUAAAGGAAAAAUGACAGAAAUGCAGAAAAUUUUUUUGUGUUUUAUCCUCCAUUUAUAUGCAUGUAUACAGUGAACUGAUGCAUUAUUUCGAACUGAACUGAUGCAAUGUUAUGAACUGAUGCUUCAAAAAGAUGCAACCAUUCAGUAAAAAUGAUACACUGAUUCAUGGAAAGGUAUGCUUGUUCGGAAAAGAUACACUGUUUGGACGAAUAGACAUGAUUUUUCAGGAAAGGUUACACCUUUUUAAAUAAACCAUUGCCACUUUUCAGAAGAGGCCAGUUAUGACUAUAUAAACCUGCUUUCAUCCAUAGGUUUAGACAUGAAAAUUUUUUUGAAACAAAAACUCUUCUUGUUUUCAAAUAUUUUGUGUGAUCAAUCAAACUGUUGAGUGAGUUCGUAGAAUCCGUCAAUUUGAGGUACCGUUAUUGUUCGGAUUGAAGUCCAUUUUAUCCUGGGAGGAAGAUUCCAUAACCUCGGGUACAGUGAGGAGAAUUAUUCCAUAAGGACAUUCCAUGAAGUCGGGGGACUUGAUCUAAAUUUCUGUUUCAUCUUUUUCUGAAUAUUAACACACUUCUAAGAUAGAUUAUUCAUAAUCUAGUGUUGAAGGUGUGAAGAAACUUCAUAAGUUCUUGUCUUGAACUUGAACUUUCUUUGAAGUUUCUGUUGCUUAUAUAUAGAUUCUUGUACCCGAAUACAUACAAAAUAACAAUCUUAAGGAAUAAUUCAGAAUCUGUAUUACUUGUUUUUGAAGAUUAAAUCUUUAAACUUUCUACUCCGUUUGAAUUUAACUAGUGAUUAGAAGACAUAAAAUCUUUAUCACAAGUUUAAAAUUCACUCGGUUGACAAUUGGAAGUCAUUAAAACUUCAUUGUUAACUAGAAACAAGAAGAAGAGUUUAAGUUUCUUAACUUUAUAAGUAGUAUUCUGAAAAUACUAAAUAUUAUUGUCUUGUGGUGACAGGAAAAAUAACUAAUGAAAGCCAAAUGCAAGAUGCGGCUACGACUGUGGGGGCAACUAGCAUUGCUUCAACAAGUCGAGCAAAUGCUCCGCAACCAAUGGCACCUGCGGAGAAGCCUGGAAAAUUUACGGGCGUUGACUUUAAGCGAUGGCAGCAAAAAAUGUUCUUUUACCUCACCACUCUAUGCCUUUAAAGGUUCACUAGUGAAGAUGCUCCUGAGGUGCUCGAGGGAACCUCGGACAAAGAGCAUUUCAUGAUUGUAGAAGCUUGAAAAUACUCAGACUUUCUUUGUAGGAAUUAUAUAUUAAGUGGUCUCCAAGACGACCUCUACAAUGUUUACAGUGGAACUAAGACACCGAAGAAAUUGUGGGGGGCACUAGAUCGAAAAUACAAGACAUAGGAUGCGGAAAUUAAGAAAUUCUUUGUUGCAAGGUUCUUGGACUUUAAAAUGAUAUAGAGCAAAUCGGUUGUCUCUCAAGUGCAGGAAUUGCAAGUAAUCAUCCAUGAUCUUCUAGCGGAAGGUUUGAUUGUGAAUGAUGCUUUCCAAGUAGGAUCGAUAAUUGAGAAGCUACCACCAAUGUGGAAGACUUCAAAAACUGCUUGAAGCAUAAAAGCAAGGAGAUGACUGUUGAAGAUCUUAUUAACCGACUGCGUAUUGAAGAGGAUAAUAAAGCUACCGAGAGAAGGUCAAAAGGGAAUUCUGCAAUUAAUGGAGCACAUAUUAUGGAAGAUGACCAAAAUAAUUCUGAGAAAAGGAAGAAAGUUGAACAAGGAAGCAAUCAACCGAAGAAGAAAUUCAAGGAAAAAUGCUUCAAUUGUGGCAAGAUUGGCCAUAAGUCCACGGAUUGUCGAACCCCAAAGAAAGGCAAGAAAAAGGAUCAAGCAAAUAUGAUUGAAUCCAACAAAGAAUGCGAUGAUCUGUGUGCUAUGUUUUCAGAAUACAACUUGGUGGGAAAUCCUCGCGAAUGAUGGAUGGAUUCUGGUGCCACCCGCCAUGUAUGUGCAACAAAGAGUUGUUUUCGUCAUUUGUUCUGGCUCAAGUAGAAGAAAUAAUCUACAUGGCUAACUUCGCUACUGCUAAGGUAGAAGGAACAGGAAAAAUGUGCUUGAAAAUGACUUCAGGAAAAGUUUUGACACUUAACAAUGUCUUGUAUGUUUCAGAGUUACGUAGAAAUUUAAUUUCUGUUUCACUUCUAGACAAGAACGGAUUCAAAUGUGUAACCGUUUCUAGUAAAAUUAUAAUUAGCAAAGGAGAAAUGUAUGUAGGAAAAUGCUAUCUCACCGAGGGCCUUUAUAAGAUGAAUGUAAUGAAUGUUGAAAUAAAUAAAAGUUCAAAUUCUUCUUAUUUUCUUGAGUCUUAUGAUUUAUGGCAUGAACAUUUAGGCAAUGUUAAUUAUAAAACGCUACAAAAACUGAUUAACUUAGAAGUUCUGCCGAACUUUGAGUGCAAUAAAUCAAAGUGUCAACAUGUGUGGAAUCAAAGUAUGCAAAACAUCCUUAUAAGUCUGUUGAAAGGAAUUUCAAUCCCUUAGACUUAGUACACACUGACAUUUGAGAUAUGAAGUCAACACCAUCACGUGGUGGAAAAAAGUAUUUCAUAACUUUUUUUGACAAUUGCACUAGAUAUUGUUAUGUCUAUUUGCUAAAUAGUAAGGAUGAAGAAAUGGGUACGUUUAGGAAAUACAAAAUUGAAGUUGAAAAUCAGUUAGAUAAAAAGAUAAAAAUAAUAAGAAGUGAUAGGGGCAGAGAAUAUAAAUCUCCUUUCGCCGAAAUAUGUGUAGAGAAUGGAAUUGUCUAUCAAACUACGGCCCCGUAUUCACCUCAAUCUAAUGGAAUUGCGGAAAGAAAGAAACAAAUUUUGAAGGAAAUGAUGAAUGCCUUGCUUAUAAGUUUUGGUUUACCGUAAAACUUGUGGGAGGAGACUAUCCUUACAGUCAAUCGUAUACUCAAUACAGUUCCCCAUAGUAAGACACAGUCAAUUUCUUAUGAAAAAUGGAAAGGAAGGAAACCCAACUUGAAAUAUUUCAAAGUGUGGGGUUGUCUAGCAAAGGUCCAAGUUUCUAUGCCUAAGAGGGUUAAGAUAGAACCUAAACUGUGGACUGUGUGCUCAUAGGAUAUGCUAAAAGCAGUAAAGCAUGUCGAUUUUUGGUUCAUAAAUCCAAACAUCCGGAUAUAAAUAAAAAUACGGUAAUUGAAUCAGAUAAUGUUGAAUUCUUUGAAAAUAUUUACCUGUAUAAAACUAGACAUGAACAUUCUAGUGGAGGGUCUAAAUAACCUCGAGAUGAACCAAGUGAGAAUAUGCAUAAUGAAGAGAAUCCAAGAUGUAGUACACGUCGAAGAACUUCUACUACGUUUGGAUCAGAUUUUGUAACUUUUCUCUUAGAAAAUGAGCCUCAAACAUUUAAAUAAGCGGUGUCGACAUCAGACUCAUCCUUUUGGAAAGAGGCAGUCAAUAGUAAGAUUAAUUCAAUCUUAAGCAAUCAUACUUGAAAAUUGGUUGAUUUUCCUCCCGAAAAUAAAUAUUUAGGUUCUAAAUAGAUCUUCAAAAGGAAGAUGAAAGCGGAUGGUACUAUUGACAAAUACAAGGCAAAACUUGUAGUAAAAGGCUUCAAACAAAAAGAAGGUCUUGAUUACUUUGAUAUAUACUUGCCAGUAACAAGGAUAAAAUCAAUUCGAAUGUUAAUUGCCUUAGCUGCGGUAUUUGAUCUUGAAAUUCAUCAAAUGGAUGUGAAAAUCGCUUGCCUAAAUGGAGAAUUGGAGGAAGAAAUUUACAUGGAACAACCUGAGGAUUUUAUGGUUCCAGGAAAGGAAAACAAGGUGUGUAAACUUAUUAAGUCAUUGUAUGGACUAAAGCAAGCACCAAAAUAAUGGCAUGCGAAGUUUGACCAAACCAUGUUGGCAAACAGAUUUAAAAUAAAUGAAUGUGAUAAAUGUGUUUAUAUUAAAGACACUCCAAAUCACCAAGUCAUUGUAUGUUUAUAUGUGGAUGAUAUGUUGAUCAUCAGCAGAGACAUUUCUGACAUAAAUGCAGUUAAAUGAAUGCUCGAGAGCAAGUUUGAUAUGAAAGAACUUGGAGUUGCAGAUGUGAUCUUAGGUAUAAGAAUCCAUCGAACUCCAUAAGGGUUGGCAUUGUCACAGUCUUAUUAUAUCAAAAAUAUACUUGACAAGUUCAAGUAUAUGGAAUUCGGUAUUGCCAAGACUCCAUUGGAUGUGAGCUUUGUACUUCGAAAGAAUGAAGGUGAAAGUGACUCACAAUUGGAGUACGCAAGAGUAUUGGGAUGUUUAUUGUAUACAAUGAAUUGUACACGAUCAAACAUAGCAUGCGCUAUUAGUAAAUUGAGUCGGUACACAAGUAAUCCCAACAAAACUCAUUGGAUGGAAAUGAAAAGAGUGUUGGGGUAUCUUAAAUACACUCAAGAUUAUGCCUUGCAUUAUAAUAAAUAUCCUGCGGUACUUGAAGAAUAUAGUGAUGGAAAUUGGAUCACUGGAUCGGAUGAAGUAAAAUCCAUAAGUGGAUAUUUAUUUACUAUCGGAGGAGGAGUAGUCUCUUGGAAAUCAUCCAAACAGACUUGUAUUGCUCGUUCUACAAUGGAAUCUGAAUUUAUCACAUUGGAUAAAGCCGGUGAAGAAGCAAAAUGGCUUCGAAAUUUCUUGGAAGACAUUCCGUAUUAGCCCAAAUCAGUGGCACCAGUAUGUAUACACUGUGAUAGCCAAGCGACAAUAGGUAGUGUAGGGAGUAUGAUGUAUAACGAUAAAUCUCGUCAAAUACGAGGGAGACAUAAUACCGUUAGAGAACUUCUCUCUAGUGGAAUUAUCAUUAUUGACUACGUAAAGUCAAAGGAUAAUGUUUUGGAUUGACUUACGAAAGGUCUAUCUAGAGAAGGAGUGGAAAGGACAUCCAAGGGAAUGGGUUUAAAGCCUAGGACAAGUCAGCAUGGCGGUAACUCUACCUAGCAGACUGGAGAUCCCAAGAGCUAGGUUAAAGGAGAUCAAACAAAGUUGUGUCUGACAGGUUCAACAUUGUCAAUUACCCAACCCAUUCUCAUGAUGUAGACAAUGUUUAGUAAACAAGGAUAAGACUUAAGGUUAAAAGUCUUUUAAUGAUUAUCUAAAUUUGGCAGAUUUGACCAAAUAGUUUAAUCUAUAGGAUUGAACAUUUAGAAAUCACCUAAGUAAGGACGAAGUGGAAGCUGCUUCAAAGAGAAUGUUAGUAAAGGCCCAUUCUCUAAGCUCUCAUGAAACUGGGACGUGUUCAUGGCUGAAAAAAAUAAAACUGUGAGAACCAUAAACGGUAAAAGGCUGGUUAUGUGACACGUGUUGUCUAGGUGUACAUUAAAGCUCGAUGGUUCAAAGAUAUCAAAUUUGCUAAUUGACCGAGUGCAUCCGAUGCAUGUUCACUACGGAAAGGUCAAAGAAAAACCAACUUAUGCAGAUGCAAUCAGUCUUUACUUGAUGAUCACAUACUUGUCCGUAAAAAUUUUAUGAAAAAUAGCCAUUCCUCAUUCAUGUGGGGAAUUGUUGGGUUCAAUAUGUAUGAAAGAAGUGUGAAUGGAAAAUGGAGAGAAAAAUGAUGGAGGGAAGGAGACACUAAUUUAGAAAGUGUACUCCCAAAUUGGAAAGUUCACUAAAUCUGCCAUAUUGGUGGGAGAAGAAAACUUUGGAGUGUUUUUAAUAAUGAAUACUUACUCCACAUGGAUAGUGAGGCAAGAAAAAGGUGGUGCCUCGCGCCGUCGUCGACGUCGCUCGCUCGGCUCGGCUUCAGCUUCGGCCUCAACUUUGGCGUCGGAUUUGGAUUUGGAUUUGGAUGAAAAUGGAGAGAAAAAUGGUGGAGGGAAGGAGACACUAAUUUACAAAGUGUACUCCCAAAUUGAAAAGUUCACUAAAUCUCUCACAUUGGUGGGAGAAGAGAACUUUGGAGUGUUUUUAAUAAUGAAUACUUACUCCACAUGGAUAGUGAGGCAAGAACAAGGUGGUGCCUCGAGCUGUCGUCGUCGCUCGCUCGACUCGACUUCGGCUUCGACUUUGGAUUUGUCAAAUGAUCGAUCAAUGAGAUCUAUCUAAUCUUUUUGGACAAAAUUUAUUUUAUCAAAAUCUGAUCCGAAUAUACCAAAGAAAAAAUGACAGAAACGCAGAAAAUUUUUCUGUGUGAUCAAUCAAACUGUUGAGUGAUUUCGUAGAGUCCAUCAAUUUGAGGUACCGCUAUUGUUCGGAUUGAAGGCCAUUUUAUCCUGGGAGAAAGAUUCCAUAACCUCGGGUACAGUGAGGGGAAUUAUUCCUUAAGAACACUUCGUGAAGUCGGAGGACUUGGUAUAAAUUUUUGUUUCAUCUUUUUCUGAAUAUUAAAACACUUCUAAGAUAGAUUGUUCAUAAUCUAGUGUUGAAGGUGUUAAGAAACUUCAUAAGUUCUUGUCUUGAACUUGAACUUUCUUUGAAGUUUCUGUUGCUUAUAUAUAGAUUCUUGUACCCAAAUACAUACAAAAUAACAAUGCCUACCACUCCCUUCUCUUUACCUGAUACAAGGCAGUCGAAGUACGCACCACCCUGUAGAUAUGAAUGGCGCGAAGGAAAGGUGCAAAUUAUCAUCUGAUGCAUUUGCUAGACAUCAAAAAAGGAAUUAACUUAUACUAUCGUGUAAAAGUUGUUUAUACUAUUAGACGUAAUUUAACCUGUUAUAACAAAUUACCUACUUUAUUUUACAGGUCACUACUUCCAUUUACUAUGUGAAGUUACAUAUUGCUAUCUUUUAGGUGUGUAAUACUAUUAAUGCAUAUGAGUUAAUUAAAGAAAAGGUCAUAUAAGCUAACGAAAUACUUUUUACACUGAUGCAAUUCAAUCGAUUGUAGUAGGUUUCAUCACCGUAAUAUUUAGGUUAUCAUAUUAGACUUGAUACGAAGAGUUACCAAUUAUUGCGAAUUAUGGUGUUCAGACACUUCAAAAAGGUAGUCACACCCGCGUCGGAUCCUCCAAAAUACAUUAUUUUUGGAGGAUUUAAAAAGCACAUUUUGAUGUUUUUAAAGAUUCCAAGCAACAUAAGUUGUAAUUCAAUAGUAUCUAAUGGUCUAAAAAAAGCAUACGUAGUCAGUGCACAAAACUUAAGCUCGGAGAAUAAAAUGACUUACUUCAUUUGCUUGGUUUGGACAAGCUUGCCAGCAGUAGAAAUAUCAGCAUCAAGUUCUUCAUUUUGGUAGAAAAGUUUAGGAUCAUUUACCAUAUCCAAUUUUCUCUUCUUGUAAGCAGCAACACAAACUUGCAAUAACCUAGUAAAAGGGCUACCAGCAGGAUCCAAAUUUCUAUACAAAGGGUAUCCAAAUAUGAACACAACAAUUGAAAUAAGCAUAGCAAUUAUUGGUACAACAAAUCCAAUGCUCCAUCCAAUAUUAUCUUGAAUGUAAACAAUUAUCGUGACAGCAACAAGCAUUGAAAAUCCCAUUGGCCUGAUUUUGCUUCUUUUUCAUUGAAAAUCCCAUUGGCUUGAUUUUGCUUCUUUUUUCAUGAGCUAUUUACUCAUUCUUCUUUUACUCUGAGUUUGAAAUUGUUAUUUUAUGGUGUUUUCGGGUACAAGAAUCUGUAUUUAGGCACAACUUCAACACUAGUUCAAAUUUAAAACAAGAACCCUAUAAAGUACAAAAACACCCUCAACACAAGAUCGAAGUGAUCUUUCUAAGAAGUGUGUUUUAGUUUUUCAGAAAUUAAGAUGAAAUAGAAAUAUAAAGCCAAGUCCCCCGACUUCAUGGAGUGUCCUUAAGAAAUAAUUUUCCUCACUGUAUCCGAGGUUUUGGAAUCUUCCUCCAAGGAUAAAAUGACUUUCAAUCCAACUAUAGUGGUACCUCAAAUAAUUGAAUUUGUCGAACUCACCCAACGAUUUGAUUGAUCACAAAGAAUGUUUUGAAUACAAGAAGAGUUUUUAUUCCAUAAAAUUUUUCAUUCAUUUCUAAACCUGUAGAUGAAAGCAGGUUUAUACAACCAACAAAUACCUUUUCUGAAAGAUAACAAUGGUUUACUUAAAAGGUGUAUCCUUUGGAAGAGUCAUGUUUGUUCAUUUGAAACAUUGUAUCUUUUUCUGAACAGACACAAUUAUCUGAACAGUCACACCUUUUUCAAAAUAAGAUAUCUUUUGCUCAAAGGUUGUGUCCCUCUAUUUUCCAUUCACACCAAUUAAACCAAACAAUCCCCCAUAUGAAUGGGGAAUGACUAUUCUUUGUAAAACUUUACAAAAAAGUAUGUGAUCAUCGAACAAAGAUUGAUUGCGUCUGGAUAAGUGGGUUUUCCUUUGAACUUUUCGUAGUGAACAUGCAUCGGAUGCACUCGGUCAAUAGGUAGAUUUGAUAUCUUUGAGCCGUCGAGCUUUAAUGUACACCUAGACAACACAUGUCACACAGCCUUUUACCAUUUAUGGUUCUCAUGGUUUUGUUUUUUUCAGCCAUGAACACGUCUUGCUUUCAUGAGAUCUUAGAGAAUAGACCUUUACUAACAUUCUCCUUGAAGCGGCUACCACUUUGCCCUCACAUAGGUGAUUUCUAAACGUUCAAUCCUAUAGAUUAAACUAUUUGAACAAAUAUUCCAAAUUUAGAUAAUCAUUAAAAGAAUUUUCACUUUAAGUCUUAUCCUUAUCUACUAAACAUUAUCUACAUCAUGAGAAUGGAUUGGAUAAUUGACAAUGUUGAACCUGUCUGACACAACUUUGUUUGAUCUCAUUGAACUUAGCUCUUGGAAUCUCCAGUUUACUAGGUAGAGUUACCGCCAUGCUGACUUGUCCUAGGACUUAAACCCAUUCCUUUGGAUGUGCUUUCCACUCCUUCUCUAGAUGGGUCUUUUGUAAGUGGAUCCGACACAUUAUCCUUUGACUUUACAUAGUCAACAGUGAUAAUUCCACUAGAGAGAAGUUCCCUAACGGUAUUAUGUCUCCGUCGUAUGUGACAAGAUUUACCGUUGUACAUUAUGAUUCCUGCCCUACCUAUUGCCGCUUGGCUAUCAUAGUGUAUACAUACUAGUGUCACUGGUUUGGGAAAAUAACAAAUAUCUUCCAAGAAAUUCUGGAGCCAUUCUGCUUCUUCAACGGUUUUAUCCAAUGCGAUAAAUUCAGAUUCUAUGUAGAGCGAGUAAUACAAGUCUGUUUGGAUGAGUUCCAAGAGACCGCUCCUCCACCGAUAGUAAAUACAUAUCCACUUGUGGAUUUUACUUCGUUCGAUCCGGUGAUUCAAUUUGCAUCACUAUAUCCUUUGAGUACCGCGGGAUAUUUAUUAUAAUGCAAGGCAUAGUCUUGAGUGUAUUUAAGAUACCCCAAAACUCUUUUCAUUGCCACCCAACGAGUUUUGUUGGGAUUACUCAUUUACCGACUCAAUUUACUAAUAACGCAUGCUAUAUCUGGUUAUGUACAGUUCAUAGUAUACAUUGAACAUCCCAAUAUUCUUGUAUACUCCAAUUGUGAGUCACUUUUACCUUUAUUCUUUCGAAGUGCAAAGCUCACAUCCAAUGGAGUCUUGGCAGUACCGAAUUCCAUAUACUUGAAUUUGUCAAGUACCUUUUAGAUAUAAUGAGACUGUGACAAUGCCAACCCUUGUGGAGUUCUAUGGAUUCUUAUACCUAAGAUCACAUCCGUAACUCCAAGGUCUUUCAUAUCGAACUUGCUCUAGAGCAUUCGUUUCGUUGCAUUUAUGUCAGAAAUGUCUCUACUGAUAAUCAACAUAUCAUCUACAUAUAAACACACAAUGACUUGAUGAUUUGGAGUUUCUUUAAUAUAAACACAUUUAUCACAUUCACUUAUUUUGAACCCGUUUGCCAACAUGGUUUAGUCAAACUUCGCAUGUCAUUGUUUAGGUGCUUGCUUUAGUCCAUACAAUGAAUUAAUAAGUUUACAAACCUUAUUCUCCUUUCCUGGAACCACAAAACCCUCAGGUUGUUUCAUGUAAAUUUGUUCCUCCAAUUCUCCAUUUAGAAAUACGUUUUCACAUCCAUUUGAUGGAUUUCAAGACCAUAUACUGUUGCCAAGGCAAUUAACAUUCGAAUCGAUGUUAUCCUUGUUACUGUCGAGUAUGUAUCAAAGUAAUCAAGACCUUCUUUUUUCUUGAAGCCUUUUACUACAAGUCUUGCCUUGAAUUUGUCAAUAGUACCAUCCGCUUUUAUUUUCCUUUUAAAGAUCCAUUAGAACCUAAAGGUUUAUUUUCUGGAGGAAGAUCAACCAAUUCCCACAUAUGUUUGCUUAAGAUUGAAUCAAUCUCACUAGUGACUAUCUUUUUCUAAAAGGAUGAGUUUGACGACGACAUCACUUCUUUAAAUGUUUGAGACUUAUUUUUUAAGAAAAAUAUUACAAAAUCUGAUCCAAAUGUAGUAGAAGUUCUUUGAUGUGUACUACGUCUUGGAUUCUCUUCAUUAUGUAUAUUCUCACUUGGUUCAUAUCGAGGUCGUUUAGACCCUCCACAAGACUGUUCAUGUCUAGUUUUAUACGGGUAAAUGUUUUCAAAGAAUUCAACAUUAUCUUAUUCAAUUACUGUAUUUUCAUUUAUAUCCUGAUGUUUGAAUUUAUGAACCAAAAACCGACAUGCUUUACUGCUUUUAGCAUAUCCUAUGAAUACGCAGUCCAUAGUCUUAGGUCCUAUCUUAACCCUCUUAGGCAUAGGAGCUUUAACCUUUUCUAGACACCUCUACACGUUGAAAUAUUUCAAGUUGAGUUUUCUUCCUUUCCAUUUUCAUAAGGAAUUGAUUGUGUCUUGCUAUGAAGAACUCUAUUGAGUAUAUGGCUGUAAGGAUAGCCUUCCCCCACAAGUUUUGUGGUAAACCAAAACAUAUAAGCAAGACAUUCAUCAUUUCUUUUAAAGUUUGAUUUUUUCCGCAAUUUUGUUAGAUUGAGGUGAAUACAGGGCCUUAGUUUGAUGGAAAAUUCCAUUCUCUACACAUAUUUUGGCGAAGGGAGAUACAUAUUCUCCGCCCCUAUCACUUCUUAUCAUUUUUAUCUUUUUCUCUAACUGAUUUUCUACUUCAGUUUUGUAUUGCCUAAAUGCAUAUAUUGCUUCAUACUUACUAUUUAGCAAAUAGACAUAACAAUAUCUAGUGCAAUUGUCAAUAAAAGUUAUGAAAUACUUUUUCUCACCACAUGAUGGUGUGACUUCAUAUCACAAAUGUCAGUGUGUACUAAGUCUAAAGGAUUGAAAUUCCUUUCAACGGACUUAUAAGGAUGCUUUGCAUACUUUGAUUCCACACACGUUUGACACUUUGAUUUAUUGCACUCAAAGUUUCGCAAAACUUCUGAGUUAAUCAACUUUUGUAACAUUUUUUAAUUAACAUGACCUAGACGUUCAUACCAUAAAUUAUAAGACUCAAGCAAGUAAGAAGAAUUUGAACUUUUAUUUAUUUCAACAUUCAUUACAUUCAUCUUAUAAAGGCCCUCGGUGAGAUAGUCUUUUCCUACAUACACUUCUCCUUUUCUAAUUACAGUUUUUUCUGAAACGAUUACACAUUUGAAUCCGUUCUUUUCUAGAAGUGAAACAAAAAUUAAGUUCCUAUGUAAUUUCAAAAUGUACAAAACAUUGUUAAUUGUCAACACCUUUUCUGAAGUCAUUUUCAAGCCCACUUUUCCUGUUCCUUCUACCUUAGCCGUAGUGGAGUUAGCCAGGUAGAUUAUUUCUUCCACUUGAGCCAGAGCAAAUGACGAAAAUAACUCUUUGUUGGCACAAACAUGGCGGGUGGUACCAAAAUCCAUCCACCACUUGGGAGGAUUCCCCACCAAGUUGCAUUCUGAAAGCAUAGCACACAGAUUAUCACAUUCUUUGUUGGACUCAAUCAUAUUUGCUUGGUCCUUUUUCUUGCCUUUCUUAGGGGCACGAUAAUUUGUGGACUUAUGGCCAAUCUUGCCACAGUUGAAACACUUUCUCUUGAAUUUCUUCUUGGGUUGAUGGCUUCCUUGUUCAACUUUCUUCCUUUUCUUAGAAUUGUUUUGGUCAUCUUCUACAAUAUGUGCCCCAUUAAUUGUAGAAUUCUCUUUUGACCUUCUCUCGGCAGCCUUGUUAUCCUCUUCAAUACGUAGUCGGACAAUAUGAUCUUCGAUAUCCAUAUUCUUGCGUUUGUGCUUUAAGUAGUUUUUGAAGUCUUUCCAUAUAGGUGGUAGCUUCUUAAUGAUCGUUGCUACUUGAAAUGCAUCAUUCACAAUCAAACCUACAAAACAGUUUAUGUGAGUACUAAGAACAUUUUCAAUUUGUUUAACUAAGGUAUUUUUCAAAGAUAUACCUUCUGCUAGGAGAUCGUGAAUGAUUACUUGCAAUUCCUGCACUUGAGAGACAACCAAUUUGCUAUCUAUCAUUUUAAAGUCUAACAACCUUACAACAAAGAAUUUCUUAAUUCCCGCAUCCUCUGUCUUAUAUUUUCAUUCUAGUGACCCCCACAAUUCGUUUAAUGUCUUAGUUCUACUAUAAAUAUUAUAGAGGUCGUCUUGGAGACCACUCAAUAUAUAAUUCCUGCAAUGGAAGUCUGAGUGUUUCCAAGAUUCUACAAUCAUGAAAUGCUCUUUGUCUGAGGUUUCCUCGGGCACCUCAGGAGCAUCCUUAGUAGUGAACCUUUAAAGGCAUAGAUUGGUGAGGUAAAAGAACAUCUUUUGCUGCCAUCGCUUAAAGUCAAUGCCCAAAAAUUUUCUGGACUUCUCCGCAGGUGCCAUUGGCUGCAGAGCAUUUGCUUGACUUGUUGAAGCAAUGCUAGUUACCCCCACAGUCGUAGCCGCAUCUUGCAUUUGACUUUCGUUAGUCAUUUUAUUGUCACCACAAGACAAUAAAAUUUAGUAUUUUCAUAAUACUAUUUAUAAAGAUAAGCAACUUUAAACUUUUCUUCUUGUUUCUAGUUAAUGAUGAAGUUUUUAUGACUUCCAAUCGUCAACCGAAUGAUCUUUAACUUGUGAUGAAGAUUUUCUGUCUUCGAAUUACUAGUUAAGUUCAAAUGGAGUACAAAGCUUAAAGCUUUAAUCUCUAAAAACAAGCAAUACAGAUUCUGCAAAAAAUUAUUUCUUAAGAUUGUUAUUUUAUGGUGUUUUCAAGUACGGGAAUUUGUAUUUAGGCACAACAACUUCAACACUAGUUCAAGUUUAAAACAAGAACACUAUGAAGUACAAAAACACAAGAUCAAAGUGAUCUUUCGAAGAAGUGUGUUUUAUUUUUUCAGAAAUUAAGAUGAAACAGAAAUAUAAAGCCAAGUCCCCCGACUUCACGGAGUGUCCUUAAGAAAUAAUUUCCCUCAUUGUACGCGAGGUUUUGGAAUCUUCAUCCCAGGAUAAAAUGACUUUCAAUCCAACUAUAGUGGUACCUCAAAUAAUUGGAUUUGUCGAACUCACUCAACGAUUUGAUUGAUCACAAUGAAUGUUUUGAAGACAAGAAGAGUUUUUAUUCAAGAAAAUUUUUCAUUCAUUUCUAAACCUGUAGAUGAAAGCAGGUUUAUAUAGCCAUCAGAUGCCUCUUCUGAAAGGUGGCAAUGAUUCACUUAAAAGGUGUAUCCUUUGGAAGAGUCAUAUCUAUUCAUUCAAAACAUUAUGUCUUUUUCUGAACAGACACAACUAUCUGAAUAAUCACACCUUUUCCAUACAUAAUAUAUUUUUUGCUCAAAGGUUGUGUCCCUCCAUUUUCCAUUCACACCAAUUAAACCCAACAGAAACAAAUGAAAUCUCACCAUCUUAGUGUGACUGCAUGUUGUUGAAGAGUUUUUCAUUGAAUGAAAAAACGGAUAGGUGACCUCAUCUUAUGGCCUUGGAUAACCUUAACCUUCUGAGCUAACUUUUGGAGUUAAGAUAACUUUAAGAUCUACUAUUUCUUUUUCGAAUAAUGCCAACCAACUCGACCAAGACAUUUAUAUGAAAAAGAUAAAAAAAAAAAAGAUGUGUUAAGUUAGUGUUUUCCCAGCCGACUCGCACACCACCAUCUUUUUUUAGAUUGAAGAAGUAUCAAGAGAAGGUCCACCUCAUCUAAUAUUUAUCGAUAAGUGGGCUUCCCAUAUCAACUUAUUCACUCUCCAAAUAUCCAACCAUGAGUAAGAUCUAUUUCUUAAUACUGGCAACAAGUAUCGAUUGACUUUUACUUUAAUCAUAAGAUUAGAUUCAGUGCCAGACUCUAUGCAUUGUGUUACCACUUAGCAGAGUGCUGUGUUUUUAAUGAACGAUCGAUCGCUACCCCCUGAGUCGCAAUUGACCAUUUCAAUAGACAUAUAGGCAAGGAAACUUCAGUAUGUAUACUUUUCUGUUGAACAUGAGACAACUUGCUUGGGUGUCGAAGAAAGAGAGCCAAAGGGCUAGAUAGAGAGAGGAGAGGGUACUCAAUACUCACCAUUGGCUCUUCACUCCUGUUUUCAAUUAGCAAAAUUAAGAGAGACAUAUCAACAAUUUCAAUACUGUAAAAUAGUUCAAAAUCCUGAAUUUUGCACUGCAUGUAAAAAAGAAAUUCAAAAAUUUAAUCAGUACAAUGAGGUCGGAAAAAAAAUCUCAACAAUGGUUGAUCUAAAAGUUAAUGAACAAAGGAAAAGAGACAUGGCAAAACAAUAAUAGCAAUUUGCCUGAAUUGUACUGGAAUAGAAAAAUUGAAAAGAGGGGAAGAGUCUUAAAACAAAAGAACUUUAUUAUGCAUUCUAACGCUAUAUUCAAAUAUUCUUCCUUCUAAUUAAAAUAGUUGAAGGAUGAAAUUAACAAACAAUGAGAAAACUCGGAAAGAAAGCAGACCAAGAAUUUGAAAUAUGAAAAAGAAUCAAAAACAUGCAAAAUUAAACUGACCGGACGCUAGAAGCCUAAAACCAAGCAAUCCUAGUAGCAGGUUUGAGCAAACAAUUGAUUAAAUGAUAGGGAGAUCCAGCAAAAUUGUUUGAGCAAAAAACAAAGAAAAAGGAGAGCAACCAAAUGAACAGAUGGAGAUCAGAUCGGUGAAAGGAUGGAUGGUAUGGAUAAACGUGGUAAAUUUAGUGCAGGUUGAAUGACACAUAAGGAAAGUAGAGGUGAAGACGAAAAUGCCCUUAGUGCUUAAACAAGCAUGUUGAAACAUAGCCUUUCCUAAUAUAGUAGUAAUAAUAAUAAUCAAUGGCGGAUGUAGAGUAGAAGGUGUGGGUUCCCGGGAACCCACACCCGCUACCGUAAGACUUAAAAUUACAUAAAAAAAUCGUCAAAAGUUAUAAAUAUUAAUAGGUGGGAACCCAUAACUAAACCAAGGGAUAACUUAGUGACAGGAAAGGAGCCCUUGUGAACCCACAAGUUUAUAAUUCUGGAUCCGCCUCUGAUAAUAAUUGAGGAGCUCCUAGGUUGAAAAUCACCAAAACAAAAAAUAGUAUUUACUACUUACCAUAAACGAAGAAAAGGAUAAAUAUAUCCUCAUAACUAUAGUAGGUAUAGGUCAUUUGUUAUAUUUUGAGUACAUAUAUAUUCUUAUCAUUAAUAAAAUAGUACGUAUAUGUUCCUCAGAUUAAUGUCAAAGGCAUAUAUGUAUCCAAAGUAUGACGGUGAUCAUAUGCAUAUCAUGUACCAUAGUUCAAUGGUAUAUUUAUCUCCUUUUCGUUUUAAUUUUUGUAACCCCAAUAAUUAACGGAAACCUACUAUCCAACUCAAUAGAAUCACUAUCCGAUCUUGUCUCAAUUAAAAUUAAAGGAACACCUAACAUAUGCAUUUUUCUCACUCUUGUAACAAUAUAUACACAUAAGCCAGUAACACGCACUACUAUCAAUUUUAAAAAAGAAAUCAUUAACUUGUAACACCUAAAAACAACAUCCAAUAAAUUCAUGUCUCAAUUUUUCAGCGAAAUUUCAUCGAAAAAAUACAAUCCACCACCGGUCAGCACCAUAUAGCCACCGUCUAUGUCGAAUAAAAAAACAUGCAUUGGCGAACCACAUCGCACCGCUAGCUCCAACCACCUUCGACCUAAUCUCCACUCCCUCCAACCCGCAAACACCAACGAAUAGCAUUGAUCAAUCACUGUAAUUUGAUUGUGCUUCAAGUUUAAAAGAAAAAUAGAGAGAGUAUUGAAUUUGAAACAAAAAUAGAAAUUGGAUCGAGUUGGUCUGCAAAGGUUCAAUGGGUUUAUUGAGUUGAAUAGGGAGUUUGAAUUAAUUAUUUUAAAUAAAAAAUUAAACGAAAAAGAAACAAAUAUAUCCCAGAAUUAUGAUAAAUAAUACGUAUAAAUAAUACGUAUAUACUCUACAUUAUACUUUGUGUACAUAUAUGUCCCUACCGUUAGUGUCAGAGAUAUACAUAUAAUUUCAUUAACGAAUAUAUACGUAUCAUUUAUCAUAAUCCCAAUAUAUAUUUACUCUUUUUCCGUACAAUAAAUAAGGAACACAAACUAACCGUCCACCCUGGAAAGUCUACCAAGGUACUACUACCAAUUACUAACAAGACAAGGAGUGGUAUUUGUUAUAGUUUGAGGCUUAGCUUUACUAGCCGAAGCUCCUGGACUCAAAAUCUAUCUUCCAAGACCCACAUCCUCAUUUCGUUGUCUCCGUCAAUCAGCCAUUAGCGUAUGUAAUUAAUUUGCGUAGUGGCAUGUUCGUAUCAGUGGUGAAACCGAGAUAUUUACUAAGGAGUUCAUAAGUGAACAAAUGAAUUAACCAAAGAUGGUCAACAUCUAAUAUAUAUACAUAAAAUUUAAUUUUAAUCAUGUAUAUAUAGCAUAAUUUUUUGUCGAUCUGAACCCCCUCGGCAAAGGGUAGAUCCGCCACUGGUUCGUAUAUUUUACGCGGACCCUUAAUGAGUCUAAGAUUAGAUAUUUGGUUUCAUCAACACAUUCUUCGUACAGACUGCAAAUAAAGAAAAACGGAGAAUGAAAUUGGCAAGCUUGUGACGUGACUAUAUGAAAGCAGUAAUGGUCCUGCAAGUGAAGUGAUGAAGCGGAUGAUUUCAUAAACUUCAAAAGAAAAAAAGACAGAGAAAUAAUACUGGAUAAUGUCAUUACAUAAGCACGGGAAACAAUCCCUAAGAUCGAAUACAUUUGAUUAUAUCAGAGUUCAGUAAGUGCUGAAGCCAAGUUGAAAUUAUAUGCCCCGUAUUGCAUAAAGCAUAUAAAGCUGAAAUGCGUUUAAGAUAUACAAUCCACUUGUUGCUAAUCUUACAUCCAAAACCUUUAUGUAGAUUUGAAUACCAAAAUCAAAACUUCCAAAACCUUUAUGUAGAUUUGACCAUAAAAGAAUAAUCUUCAUAGGUUAAGAUUCCUUUUUAGAAGUUUUGAUAAAAUAAAGAAAAAAACCGCACUCUCCCUUAGGAGCGGAGCCAGCCUCAGAAAAAUAUAUUAUUUAUACGUGAUUAAAAUUCAUUUUUAUAUGAUUAUAGUAAAUGUUAAACUCCCUUUAACUAAGUUUUCUUUGAAUAUAAAACCCUUAGUUAAAAUCCUAAUUUUUUUAAUUUUUUUUUUGAAUAUGAAUCUCCUUCAUUAAAAUCCUGAUUCCGCCUCUGCUCUCCCUAGUUAAAAAACAUCACCCAAUCUAGAGCCUAAUUACAAAAAAAAAUAGUGUUCUUCUAUGCUUCCCUUUAGAUCUACGCUUCCCUUCAGAUUAUUUAAGAAAGUGAGGACUAAUCAAAUCAAUUAUCUCAAGGAACUCAACACGCUUCUUUCCAUCAAAAAUCUCAUCACAAAUUAUGACCUCCUUGUUUUGAGGAUCCUAUAAAGGCCCGUAAAAGAAAGAGUCGGCAGCGCAAAGAGUGGAGAUACGCUAUCAGAAAGCAUUCCCUUCUUUUCACCAACCUCUCGGAUAAACCAUAGAGAGCAUCAUGUUAGAUAUCAACACUAGAAAGCUAAAGCCAGAUUACACACCCAACACAAUGCAACAAAAGAUUUGACAUACUAAUUACAGUACUACAUAGACCGGUAGAAGACAGCAGUCCAAAUGCGCUAAGCAUUCCAAAACUUCCAAUAGAUACUUAAGAUGGCAUCUAGGUAGACAAAGGUAGCAAAUCAGAAGCAUGCAAAAAGCCAGCAAUUGUGGCAAAGAACAUAGAUUAGAACCAGUAUAUUCUUUCUCAACAUAUAUACCACUAGAUAAAAUUUCCGGUGUUAAAGUAAGCAUAUCGAAUGAAAAUAACAAAUUUACAUCUUUGUUCAUAGAAGAGACGAAAUGAAGCUCAACCCACGAAAACAUUAAAGAUCAAUCGAACAACUACAAACAUGUAAAAGAAAAAACUGCAUCAAUAGCCAUUUCAGAUAAGAGUGAGCAACUACUUCAGUCAAAUGUUAAAAUUUAUGCCACAUGGAAAGGAUGUUGCAACAAGGUUUCACCGGGAUUCGCUUUAAAGGAGAGUGAAAAUUAGGGGCCAGAAAAACUCAAGACAUACUAAUUCAAGGGAAGGAAAAGAGAACCAGAAAUCUUAAAUAAAUGUAAAGGAAAUUAUUCAUUAAUCAAGCUCAUACAACAAUUUCUUGUUUACAACUACAAAGCCAAGACCCACAACUUAGAUAAUUACACACACACAAUUCAGAUUACACCAAACACAAUAGACAAAGGACUUUCAACAAAAACAGCUGAUCUGCAUGCACUUGUUUAACCAGAUAUGUCAAUUGCCUUGACCUCAGGUUUCUUCUCCUCUUCUUUCGGAACUGUUACAGUGAGCACUCCAUCCUCCAUAGCUGCCUUAAUUUCCCCUGUUUUCGUAUUCUCCGGCAGCCUAAAUCUCCUCAAAAACUUGCCACUGCUCCUCUCCAUACGGUGCCACUGAUCAUUCUUCUCCUCUUGCUCUCUGCUCCUCUCACCGCUUAUCUGUAGUAUCCUUCCUUCUUCAACUUCGACUUUCACUUCCUCUCUCUUGAUCCCCGGAACGUCUACUUUGAAGAUGUGCGCUUGUGGGGUCUCUUUCCAAUCGAUUCUUGCAUUUGCGAAAGCAGAGGUUUCACGAGCAGAGGAGGGGGUGUUGGCGAUUGUGCUUGAAAUUGGGAAGCCUUCGAACGGAUCCCAUAAGUCGAGGGAGAAUGGGUCGAAGAUGUUGCUCCUGCGACCACCGAAGAAGCUUGGAAUCAGAGACAUUUUUUGGGGAC
rnacentral:lncRNA from 1 species